CUGGGUUUGGUUGGCGGUGGCGGCGGCUGCGCCAUUGGCGGGUAGGAAAUGCCGCCAGAUGGCGGUUUAGGAUUGCAGCUCUACUGAGGUGCGGCCCCCAGCACCACCGCCUGUUCGUUCCGGCCCGGCUUGGCCCCGGCCCGCCUGGACCCAUCUCCCGUGGCACCGUAGGAUUCCCGGGGGCGCUGCCUCAGCUGAGGACUCCAAGACUCACUGGGUUGACGGACCGAGCCCAGGCAACUUCGCCCAGCUGGCACCGGACCAUUUGUCUGGAGGGUGCUGCCCGGCCUCUGCCCGCAUCGACAUUGGUAGUAAAGGGAGUUUUGGUUUUGAGCCAAAUGGUUGCCUGAACCUGAGGCAUCAUAGUUGGCACCUCCAACGACUGUGGAGACAGAGUUCCCUGACCCAGACCCUGCCACUAGAGGAAGCCCUGCAUCCCUUUGAACUUGGAGACUGGGUACGGAUCCGCUUCUUCACCAGGAGCUCCCACUACAGCUGAGGUGGAAGGGAUCAUUCUAAGUGCUGCUGACAACUCAGAUGGCAGUGAAAGUGGCAGAGCAAACACCUGGAUUCACUGGUCAUGCAUGAAGCCUGCAGUGGUGGACCACAGUGUUGAGGUUCCUGCGACCCCUAGACUGCCACCAAUCAAGCUCGUGAAAGAUCCAGAGACCAACCAGUGGGGCUUGAAAAGCUUUCUAGGACUCUAAACUAUCUGGGACUUUGAAACUAGCAGAAUGGGCUUUCUGAUUAACUGCUUCAUACUUGUGCUGUUGGCUUCAGGAGUCAGAGGACUAAUCAGGUUGGGACUUCACACAGAAAUGGAAAAUAUCUGGGAAUAAAAUAUUCUGUUCUAUGCAGAAAGGGGGGAUU